GGGCUGGUAGUCCAACGGCAAGACGCCACGUUCGCAUCGUGGAGACUUCGGGUUCAAAUCCCGACCAGUCCA
rnacentral:tRNA from 1 species